UCCCUGAUGGCUCAGUUGGUAAAGAAUCUGCCUGCUAAUGCAGGAGGCACAGGUUCAAUCCUUGGUCUGGGAA
rnacentral:tRNA from 1 species